AAGGUGAAAAAAUCAGCAGCAGAAUGAGUCUCCCAUCACCUUGCUGGGAGAAGCUUUUUUUCAGUGACUUCUCGGAGUGACGCUGAGCCAAGGAAGGACUGAUCAGAUGGUGGGAUCGAUCAGACCAUGAGAGAGGGCAGAGCCACACAGAGUAGAUGGGGUUCAGUCCACAUUUCUGGGCAGAGUGAGACACCGCAGCCGAGGUGAUGGAGCAGACCCACUCAAUCCGAAAUUCCUCACUUUUGGAAAUAUACAAACACUCAGUUUGACCAAUGGAGCUUUGUUCUGCAAAUGUGUGUCAGGUGAGAAUAAUUUAAAAAGAAAACGUGAUGUUACUGACUGCUGAAGGUUUAAUGCUUGACUAAAGUUCGCUUAGCUUUUUAGCCUUUAGCAGUAGAAUCAGUCAAUCAAGCUGAGUGAGCGUUUUAAUUUGUAAAUGAUUCAAUCUGUUUUUAUUUUUACCAAAUAAAGGUACAGUUUUUUAAAUUGUUGCUUCUAUCACUACACAAAACCUCAACUUUAAAUAACUUA